GCACAAGCGGUGGAGCAUGUGGUUAAUUCGAAGCAACGCGAAGAACCUUACCAGGUCUUGACAUCCCGAUGCUAUUUCUAGAGAUAGAAAGUUACUUCGGUACAUCGGUGACAGGUGGUGCAUGGUUGUCGUCAGCUCGUGUCGUGAGAUGUUGGGUUAAGUCCCGCAACGAGCGCAACCCCUAUUGUUAGUUGCCAUCAUUCAGUUGGGCACUCUAGCGAGACUGCCGGUAAUAAACCGGAGGAAGUGGGGAUGACGUCAAAUCAUCAUGCCCUUUAUGUCCUGGGCUACACACGUGCUACAAUGGCCUGUACAAAGGGCGGCAAAGGGGCGACCCGGAGCAAAUCCCAAAAAACAGGUCUCAGUUCGGAUUGCAGGCUGCAAUUCGCCUGCAUGAAGGCGGAAUCGCUAGUAAUCGCAGGUCAGCAUACUGCGGUGAAUACGUUCCCGGGCCUU
rnacentral:rRNA from 1 species